UGGGGAAUAUUGCGCAAUGGGGGAAACCCUGACGCAGCAACGCCGCGUGCGGGAUGACGGCCUUCGGGUUGUAAACCGCUUUCAGCAGGGAAGAACAUCGACGGUACCUGCAGAAGAAGCCCCGGCUAACUACGUGCCAGCAGCCGCGGUAAUACGUAGGGGGCGAGCGUUAUCCGGAUUCAUUGGGCGUAAAGCGCGCGUAGGCGGGUGCCUAAGCGGGACCUCUAACCUCGGGGCUCAACCCCGAGCCGGGUCCCGAACUGGGCGCCUCGAGUGCGGUAGGGGAGAUCGGAAUUCCCGGUG
rnacentral:rRNA from 1 species